ensembl:lncRNA
CUGUGAGGAAAUGACACCAGGGGAAGUUUUCUCCCAACCCCUCAACCAGUUCUUUGGGCCCACCCCAUCAAUUUUCGAAGGGUUUAAAUUCCCUCUGAAUACUAACCAUCUGCUGCUGAUAGGCCUACUCUAUUUAGCAUUCAAGGAUAAGUUGAGAUUGGCUUGGAUAUCUACCCGGACACCAGCCCCAGAGACUAGAGAUCCUGCCCCAGAACCUGACAUGGCCCCAGAGAGUAGAGUUCCUACCCCAGAGCCUGAUCCUGCCCCAGAGCCUGACACGGCCCCAGACACUAGAGAUCCUACCCCAGAGCCAGAGCCUGCCACAGCCCCAGACACUAGAGAUCCCGCCCCACAGACUGAUACUGCCCAACAGUCCACCUCAGAAAUGGACUACCCAAACUGGGUGGGGGUACUGGCAAAAGGGAUGCAGGAGAUGUGCCAAGAGAUGGGUCAGGUGCGCCAGGGGAUGUGCCAGGAGAUGGGCCAGGUGCGCCAGGAGAUAUGCCAAUUGCUAAGGGAAUACACCUCCUCAGCUAGUGAAAAACCCUCUCCCUGCCCCAAAGAGGGUGAGUCCGAUGGUGCAGCAGUGGAACCCACGGAUGUUACAACCGUCCAGGCUUCAGCUGAACCACAAGGACAACCACAGGCAGCAGCAGUCGCCCCUGUGCAAAGGAGGAAGUAUAAGACCAAAUCAGUACAACCAGUUAAUGAUGAUGGGCAACCAGGGCCCUCACAACCAGCAGGAGAGCCAGAGCCAGAAAUCAUCACUGAGUCCCUGUCGCACGACAGUCUCCGUGCUAUGCGAAACGACAUUGUGCGAAGGGGGCGUGAGCCUUAUACCACCUGGCUGCUUCGGGUUUGGGACCUUAUGGGCACAAGUGUGCAACUGGAUAGUGGUGAGGCAAGGUAUCUGGGAUCGUUGACCCAGGACCCAGGUGUGGACCAGAUAUUUGUGAGGGAGCCAGGGCCUCUCUCUCUCUGGGAGCGGCUCUUAAUGAGUGUGAGAGAAAGGUUCAUUCACAAAGAAAGAAUGCAGGAGUAUCAUCAUAGAAUGCAGUGGAAGACACUCGAGCAAGGGAUCCAACAGCUAAGAGAGGUGGCAAUAUUAGAGGUACUCUUUGGGAAGGAUGGACAGCAUGAUAAUGACCCCGAUAAGGUCAGGUGCACAGGACAGAUGAUGUGGAACCUGGCAAGGCUAGGGCCAUCGCAAUACACCACCUUCAUUGCAACGAUUGAUGCUGACAAUACCCGAGAAACAGUGGGCUCUGUUGCCAACAAGCUCAGGCAUUAUGACAGCAUGAUCAAUGGCCCGCUGAAAGCUCAUGUCUCUGCUGUGGUCCAGGACCUCAAAGAGGAGAUGAAGGAGAUGAGGAAGGAAAUGAGGGAGGAGAUGAGGGAGGAGAUGAGGGAGGAGAUGAGGAGGGUCAGUGUGGCACCAGUGCGAGUCACAGGCCCCCAAGUCAGAGCCCGUCGUCCCCCUGCUAGAGAGAGAGGGUACACCCCACGAGCUGAGCUGUGGUUUUUCCUGUGUGAGCAUGGGGAAGACAUGAGAAGGUGGGAUGGGAAACCCACCUCUGCCCUGGCAGCGUGGGUGCGUGAACUCAAGGAGGGAGGCACUAACCGAGGGGGUUCCGCUAAGGUGAAGGUAGCCUCAGCCUCCCGUGACCGAGCUGCCAGGCAUUACAGAAGGGAGGAUGAUAUGUCAGAUCCCCUUGAAGGUACCUCGAGCAUGUACGCCCAGGGAAAGAAUGAUAACCAGGGCUAGAGGGGCCCUGCCUCUAGCCAGGAAGAGGCACGGGAGAACCGAGUUUUCUGGACGGUGUGGAUCCGAUGGCCUGGCACAUCAGAGCCACAAAAAUAUGAUGCAUUGGUUGAUACUGGGGCACAGUGUACUUUAAUGCCAUCGGGACAUGUGGGGGCAGAACCUGUAUCCAUCGCUGGGGUGACUGGGGGAUCACAGCAGUUGACCCUUUUGGAAGCUGAGGUGAGCCUGACUGGGAAGGAGUGGCAAAAGCAUCCGAUUGUGACCGGCCCAGAGGCCCCGUGUAUUCUGGGCAUAGACUUCCUCCGGAA